rnacentral:lncRNA from 1 species
UCUUUGUUAUUUCUUCUAAGUUUGCACUUGUGUUCCACUUGUUCUAUUCUACAAUUUUUUUCAAGGUUUACCUUUAAUUGAUCUAGCUUUGAAGUUGGUAGUAUUUUCCCAUAUUUUUUAGUUUCUUUUGCUUGUGUUUCAUUCUUUUCAAAUCAUUGUUCGAAACCGACGGCACACAAAAGGCCUUAUGACGUCCCUAUUGGAAGUGGUGAAUUCAAAUAUACUACUACCAUGGAGGAUAUGUGGCAUCUACUUGAAUGCAGGGAGAUUGAAUGUUUUUCUAACUUCAAAUACAAGUUUUCAAUCCCCAAAAGGAAACAUCGUUUAAGCGAAGUGGGUUUGAAAGAGGAUGAUUCACUGUACUUUUUGGUAUUGCUAUUGUACUUGAGGUAGGUUUUCAUUUGUCACUACAUCCUUUCUUUUUGUAAUUUAUAAAUUCUUACGGGGUUGCACCGGGUCAACUGAUGGGGACUUUUUGGUGGGCUUUGUUUGCUCUAUUUUAUAUAUAUUGUCGCCAAAAGGGAAAAGAACAUUUAGUUGAUGUGUUUAGAAGAGAUUUUAUAUAUAUAUUUAAGGGCGAAGCAAAAAAAAAUUUAGGAGGCCGAAAUUAAAUUGUAAUUUAUACGAUAGUAAAAAUGCAAUUUCACCAUUUUAAUAGCCUAUAUCUUUAUAAUUUUUAAAGGAUUAAAUCAAAAUUUUAUCAUAUUUAGGGGGCUUAAAUGAAAAUUUUCCAUUUUUGGGGCCUUGCUAGCCCCUAGCUACGCACAUGUAUAUAUUGUCUCCUACUGGUGAAGUUUAUCAUAAGAUCUUUAUGAUGCGGACAACUAGCAAAGGCAUGACAACGAUGCUAGACAACCUCUGAAAUAAUAUGCAUUUAGUGAGAGAAAAUUACAUUAAAGUUCAACAAUUAUGCAGAGGUGGAUUUCCAUUCCCAAUUUCCUGGUACGAGCCUAGCAAUGAUCAAAAUACAUUGAAACCCAUUUUGGAGACCAAUUCGGAGAUGCACUUGUAUUAACGCUUAUGCGAAGGUUCACUGAUAAAGGUGGAAGACACUAAUAGCUUGUACCAUAUAUGGAAAUAUUGCCUGAUGAGG